rnacentral:misc_RNA from 1 species
GUGAAUCAUCGAAUUUUUGAACGCAAAUUGCACUCUCUGGUAUUCCGGAGAGUAUGCCUGUUUGAGGGUCAGUUUAAAUAAAAAUCGGUGCGGGUGCUGCCUUUCGUGGUGACGCGCCGGAUUGGGGUCGUCUUGCCUUCGGUUAAGGGACCUAAAAUUUUGCAUGAUCUUUUUCUAACGUAUUGAAAUGGUUUUACUUACGCUUGCGAUAUCGAAUACUAGGUGUGUUUAUCUUG